rnacentral:lncRNA from 1 species
GGGGGCUGAUUGAAUUUAUUUGAAGGCACACACCUGAUGGUUUAUUUACUAGAAGGGGGAGUGCCUAUUUGAUUUUGGAAGAGUUGGUGCAACACACAGUCACAUCAACUUACUUUUCAAGAGCUGAUUUCGUUUUUGUUGUUGUUUAAUAUUAGCAUGGCUGAUUCACUUUUUACUUGAAGAACACGACGCUAUUUUCAAUUUACUUGUUGUUUUUAUUUUAUUUUUUAACAACUCAUUAGCUUUGCCUUUGGACGCUGUUGGGAACGUUUUGAAAAGAGGAGCUGCCACUCUCUUUAUAUUUUUUUCGGAGCUUGAACGUUUUCUUGGUUUUUUUUUUGGUUAGCAAUGUUGUUCACGGUUUUUUCCAGGGAAUGAUGGACGCUGGUUUCAUGCUUGAAUGGAAGAAGCAUUUUUCAAUUUUUCUUUUUAUUGUUUUGCAAUGCUGGACCCCAUAUUUUUAGCAUUGAAGAGUGUGUGGUAUUAUGCAAGCAUAGUCCAUUAACACUGAUUGUAUAAGGAUGCCUAUUUUAUUCAUGCUUUCAAUGUUAUUCACAUGGUCACGUCAACUAGCAUUUAAGGAUGAAAUAUUUUUUGGAGAAUGAAGCAAGGGUGCAAGGAAUCAACUUAUUGAAUUGUUAUUUGAAAGAUGAAAAAUGACGUGCUGGAAGAUGGUACCAGGGGAGGUCACGGCCAAGAGUCAAUUUUUAGAACCACUUGCAUUUUUAAUUUCCUUUGGGGGCUNCAGGGUCACAUGAAUUGGUAGAUAAUUUUUAUUUUUUUUUUAUUUUUCUUGUCUUAGAAUAUUUUACAUUAUAUGUUGAGUUGUUUUAAUCUUUUUAAUUUAGUGUUGCAUUUUAAUAGCUUUAUUUGUAUUUAGACAUUUAUCUAUUGCAUU